CCCUACUUGCCAGUUGCUACCAGGUAAUGCUGGGCACUCUGGUGAGACUGCCCGGUUAACGGGGAGGAAGGUGGGGACGACGUCAAGUCAUCAUGGCCCUUACGCCUAGGGCUACACACGUACUACAAUGGCGCAUACAAAGGGCAGCGAUACCGCGAGGUGGAGCCAAUCCCAAAAAGUGCGUCCCAGUCCGGAUUGCAGUCUGCAACUCGACUGCAUGAAGUUGGAAUCGCUAGUAAUUCGAGAUCAGCAUGCUCGGGUGAAUGCGUUCCCGGGCCUU
rnacentral:rRNA from 1 species